AUGAAGUUGCAGAGGAGGCGGCCAACAUGAAGUUGCAAAGGAGGCGGCCAAACACACGAUUGGAACCAGGAUGCGAAAACAGAAACGAUUUGAGGGAACAACGACGGUGAGGACGGUGACGACAACCUCGGCGACGGUGAGGACGGUGACAGCAAACUCGACGACGGUGAGGAGGGUGACGGCAACCUCAGCGAUGGUGGCAGCACCGACAACGACAUUGUCCAAGGGGAACAGAUGUACCAAUAAGCAUGGCUUGUGCAUCAAUGGCAGUCAUCAUCAACAUGGCAGGGUUUGGCAGUGAA